UCUGUAUGUGGCAAGACAUGUACUAGCUAGGUUAUUUAGUUUUAGAAUUAUGAAUAAGUAGUUUCAUGGGGCGGGAUGUAGUCCAGUAUAUCACAUCUGUAUGUGGCAAGACAUGUACUAGCUAGGUUAUUUAGUUUUAGAAUUAUCAAUAAGUAGUUUCAUGGGGCGGGAUGUAGUCCAGUAUAUCACAUCUGUAUGUGGCAAGACAUGUACUAGCUAGGUUAUUUAGGUUUAGAAGUAGUUUCAUGGGGCGGGAUGUAGUCCAGUAUAUCACAUCUGUAUGUGGCAAGACAUGUACUAGCUAGGUUAUUUAGGUUUAGAAGUAGUUUCAUGGGGCGGGAUGUAGUCCAGUAUAUCACAUCUGUAUGUGGCAAGACAUGUGAUAGCUAGGUUAUUUAGGUUUAGAAGUAGUUUCAUGGGGCGGGAUGUAGUCCAGUAUAUCACAUCUGUAUGUGGCAAGACAUGUACUAGCUAGGUUAUUUAGUUUUAGAAUUAUGAAUAAGUAGUUUCAUGGGGCGGGAUGUAGUCCAGUAUAUCACAUCUGUAUGUGGCAAGACAUGUACUAGCUAGGUUAUUUAGUUUUA